ACGUAGGAGGCGAGCGUUAUCCGGAUUUACUGGGCGUAAAGCGCGUGCAGGCGGCUCGAAAAGUUGGAUGUGAAAGCUCCUGGCUUAACUGGGAGAGGUCGUUCAAUACUUUCGAGCUAGAGGAUGGGAGAGGGAGGUGGAAUUCCGGGUGUAGUGGUGAAAUGCGUAGAUAUCCGGAGGAACACCAGUGGCGAAGGCGGCUUGCUGGGCCUGAACUGACGCUCAGACGCGAAAGCAUGGGGAGCGAACGG
rnacentral:rRNA from 1 species